rnacentral:rRNA from 1 species
GGCGUGACUCCAAUUGAACCGCAGGCUUCACCCUUGUGGUGCUCCCCCGCCAAUCCUUUAAGUUCAUACUUGCGUACGUACUUCCCAGGCGGCAGACUUAACGGCUUCCCUGCGGCACUGCAUUGGCCACAAGCCAAUGCAUCACCGAGUCUGCAUCGUUUACAGCUGGGACUACCCGGGUAUCUAAUCCGGUUUGCUCCCCCAGCUUUCAUCCCUCACCGUCGAACGUGUUCUGGUACACCGCCUUCGCCACAGGUGGUCUUCAAUAGAUCAAAGGAUUUUACCCCUUCCUAUCGAGUACCGUGUACCUCUCCCACUCCCUAGCUGCACAGUAUUUUCGGCGGCCUAUACGUUAAGCGCAUAGAUUUAACCGAAAACUUAUGCAACCGGCUACGGAUGCUUUAGGCCCAAUAAACCUCCUGACCACUCGAGGUGCUGGUUUUACCGCGGCGGCUGACAAAAAACACAAACCCCCCCCAAAAAAAAACACGGGGGGACAAAAAAAAAAAACCCCUUUUUUGCCCCCCAACCCCCCCUUUAAUUUUCCACCAAGUUGAAUUUCCUACAAAUUGAAAAAAGACUCCUUUAACAGGAGACACUCGGAUA